UGGAGGUGUAAUUGAGUUGCCAUAAAGGGCUUAUGCAAAAGCAUUUAAGUAUGUAAUCUUUUUAAAGAAAAAUAAUCAUUUUUUUAUUAAUGAAAUGAAAAAAAAAUAAGUUUUUGACAAUAGAAAUAACUACAUGUGCUUAUGACUAUCACUGAUUAUCUGAUUUGGCUCUCUGUACCUCUUACCUAUUAUAGCCAGAAUGGCUAUAGCAACCACACUCACUGCUGCUAUGAUAAUGAUUGUGGCGCUUCCAUCUACAACACAAACAAGCACAUAUGAACAUUAAAAGCAUCUGAUAUCUACUACAGAGUCAUUAGACCCUAGAUUGGCACAAAACAAACAAACAAACAAUUAAAUCACUUAUAAUAAUUAAUUUGUAUUGAAAGCAGCACAUAUGAUCUGUCAUUUUUUAUUUUUUUUUUUACCAUCAAUAUCUUGGUCUUCAAAUCCAUUUUUCACUUCUCCUGUACGUGUUUCUGUAACAAAAUUUAAUUAUGUGAGUUUGCAAUCCCUGUUUAAACCAAACCAAAGCAUCUACCACAAAUCUUUCCAGAAUCAUACUGCUGUACAUACUACUCACUGUAUGAAUGGUUCUAUAAUAUUUACAGUGAUGUGGUUACAGCAAAUUAAAUGUCUAUCUACAUCAUGAAGUUUUACCUUAUUGGGUAAAUAUUAUGCUGCCGCCAUUGGUGUUCAUAUGAGCUUAUCUUAACUUUUGAUGCUGAUAUAUAAGCCGCAUCAGCCAUACAUGUUACUGUGUAAGUUGUGUAGGCUGGCACUUCUGUUAUAGAAAAUAAAUCUACACCUUAUACACUGAUCAAUCAGAAUCGAGAAUUCAACAGUGAUGUAGUAUAAAUGACUCUUAACCUACAGUGGUGUUUGAAAAUUUGUGAUUUUUCAGAAUUUUCUAUAUAUCUGCAUAAACAUCAUAAGUCCUAAAAGCAGACAAAGAGAACCCAAUUAAACAAAUGAGACAAAAAUAUUAAACUUGGUCAUUUAUUUAUUGAGAAAAUGAUCCAAUAAUACAUAUCUGUGAGAAUCAAAAGUAUGUGCCCUCUAGGAUUAGCAGUUAAUUUGAAGGUGAAAUUAGAGUCAGGUGUUUUCAAUCAAUGGGAUGACAAUCAGGUGCAAGUGAGCAUCUCGUUUUAUUUAAAGAGCAGGGAUCUAUCAAAGUCUGGAAGUAUAUAAUGGCAUGAACAAAGGAGAUUUCUGAAGACCUCAGAAAAAGAGUUGAUACUCAUCAGGCUGGAAAAUGUUACAAAAUCACCUCUAAAGAGUUUGUACUCCAACAAUCCACAGUCAGACAGGAAAUUCAAGACCAUUAUUAUCCUCCCCAGGAGUGGCUGACUAACAAAGAUCACUCCAAGAGCAAGACAAGCAAGUCCACCAGGUCACAAAGGAACUCAGGGUAACGACUAAGCAACUAAAGGGCUCUCCCACAUUGGCUAAUGUUUUCAUGAGUCCACCAUCAGGAGAACACUGAACUACAAUGGUGUGCAUGGCAGGGUUGCAAGGAGAAAGUCACUGCUCUCCAAAAAUAACAUUUCUGCCUGUCUGCAAUUUGCUAAAGAUCACCUGGACAAGCUACUGGAAAAAAUGUUUUGUGGACAGAUAAGACCAAAAUAGAAUUUUAGGUUUAAAUGAGAAGUGUUAUGUUUGGAGAUAGAAAAACACUGCAUUCCAGCACAAGAGCCUUAUCCCAUCUGUGAAACAUGCCUUUAUCCAAUAGAAAUGUUUCAAGCACCACUGUACCAUACCAGCUAACAUAUUGUGCAUGCAUAUUGCACAGGCACACCCUAACGUGUAUACAAAAAUGUGACCAAUGUGUAUAAUGCUUUAUGGAUGUAUUAGAGUGCUUUGAACAUGCUCAUAGGUCAUGGAUUUUUUUUUUUUUUCAAGUAUUUUCGUAGUACUGAAAUGACUAUUUCCUUACUCAUGCUAAUUCUGCAAGUUUAGCCAGAGGUGAGCAGUUCUUGCUUUAACAGCUCAGUGAUUCUAUCACAAGGCAAUCAUCGGGCUGAUGAAGAGUGACAGCAUAUGUUACAUGUAGAGACAGCAGCGUUCAGAGAGCCGGAUUCAUCUGGGAGUGGCUAACUGAUUACUUUCAGGAAUUAACAUGAUGGCUGACCUUACAGUACUGACCUGCCUUCAUGCUUCAUCUACUGCUGGCAAUAAAGAAUGCUUACCCGUAAUGCGUUCAGAUUCAUCUUCUAUUUCAUCAUCUGUGUGUGGAAAGAGAGUGAGAAAAGAUGUGAUAAAUAAAAAACAAAGCUGGAAAGUUGCUGUUUAAAGAAAAUAUUUAGUUUGAAGCAUGCCGAUGUUUCUAUCCACCCAUCAUGGUGGUAUUAGCUGUAAAUGAUUAACUUUCUUUAAAAAAUAACUAUUUUUUUUUAUUUGUAAACUAAUUUAUCUCAUGCAUGAAAAGACUAAGUCCUUAUAGUUUUUCAAACAAAAUGACUUUAAAAAUGAACUUACCUGGGAAGUCUCCAUCUCCUGAACCUAAAUCUCUUGUAUCUAACGUAGCAGCUAAGGACAUGAAGGAAGAAAAAGAAUAAAUUAGACCUUUGUCUAAACAUAUUAAACCUUACCCUCAUUAAAAAUGCAGGAUUUAUGAAUAUACAUGAAUAUGCAAAUUGGAAGCAACCCCGUGUCUACAAUACCUGCUGUUCCAGCCCCAUCCCUAAUGAUGCAUGUACAUGCAUGUGGAAAAAAAAACUUCCCAUUAUUUUGAUUUAAUAGGUUGUUAAAAAAAAAUGUUUAAAAAUUUUUUUAAAAAAAUUUUAAAAAAAAACAUUUAAUUCAAUUAAUUUACUAGGUAAAAAUUAUGGUUGUCAUUUUUAUCUAACAUAAACAUAAAAAAAUAUAGCACCUUAUGUUAAACAUUAAAACAUCUCUUCAUAGUCUGUAACAAAACUGAAGCAAGUUUUAUGUUUAUCAGUUUUAAUUCAGUAUAGUCUGAAAUAAAAUCUAAGGUCCCCAUUUUCAAUUUAGUUGGCUUACAACCAGAAGAUUUGGUUGAAACUGAGGCUGUCAGAAAGAUCCAGAAAUUCCGACUCCCAACAGAAGGUGGUAAUUACAGUAACUCAAAAAGGAUGUGAAUGCAGCAGUUCCCCCCAGUACCCUAGCUAUGCUAUGCCAUUAGCUAUGAUGUACUGUUAUUACAGAAAGGAAGGUAGACACAUUGGGGAAAUGAGACCCCAAUGUUGAAAAGAGACUUUUGUCCACCACCAUCAGGCAACUGUUGACGUCUCAGUACAGGAGGAUCAGUUAUUAUCUUGCAUUUAUUAACAUUGCUAGCUACCACUGUAGAACUGUACUGCACUCUAUUUAAACUAGUUAGCUGGCAAGCUUACUGGUAGUGAACUAGCUUGCAGGAUUUCAGUAUAACGGUCUCUACUAGCAAAUAUGCGUUAAUAUGAAUGAUUGUAUAACAUGCUGGGAUAUUAAGGGUUAAAAAUACAGGAGCAUAUUUUUGAGUGCAGGGUAGUCUAGCCCCAUGCAGGUCUAAUUCUGAGCCCCUUAGCAAACUGCCUCAUGGGAGCUAUGUUAAAUAUAAAUGCAUAUUUAAAAAAAGUUUACCAAGAUACAAUGUAAUGUAAUUCCAAUAAAGUUAUAUGCUAAAUUGAUAACGCAUCACAGUAUUUUAGUAGAGACAGACUGAACCUACCCAUGACCGUGAGAAGCAAAGUGAGAAGGAGUAACCGCAACAUCAUACUAAUCUGCAGAGAAAAAAAAUAUAUAAUUCAGGAUUCAGAUUAAAUCUUGACAUAACAACCUGGAAUAUGUCAUAAUGUCAAAAAAUAUUAUUUUUGCUUUUUUAUUUUUUUACAAAGUGAUUUCUGUUUCAUACGCAAAUAGCAAUCUGGGUUUGUAAAAAUGCUUUGCUCUGUAUGAGAUCACUUCGAUUUCCAGGCAGUGAAGCCUUUAGGAAGCAGAUUCCAUUGGAAACUUAGGAGACAUGACACUCUCAGGCAUGGUGCAUGCUGGCUCUGUGUAACACACUGAUCUGUGAUUCUCGCAACGCUCAGCAAGAAUUAGGAAUGUGUGUGAAUAUGCGUGUUGUCUGUUUUUGGCCAAUCAGCAUGCAGAUGUAUAUGGGAGUGACAUGAACCCACAUUUCCAGGUCAACAGGAAAAUGUGGUGUGUCAUAAAGCAGCAUGAGCUCUGAGUUUCAGCCCUCUACUACUUCUAUCAGGUUGCUAACAUGACUUAAAACACAUCUUAAAAAAUAAAUAAAUAAAAUCAUUCAUCACCUGCAGGCAUGCUCAGCUGCACAUAAACACUGGCUGAUUCAAUUUGCAUGAGAUAAGAGGGUGGUUUGGCUUUCCAUAGCAGAAGGAGGAGUCACGACACGAGCCAGUAGACCAGUAGACAGAGCAAGAGAUAAAGCAGCGCUUGUCUCCGGCUCCUCUCCCAGAUCCAUACGAGAUCCCCAGGACCUGAGCCGGCUGGCUGCUUCACCAUCUCAAUAAUUAUACAUCUGUUUUGUUAAAU
ensembl:lncRNA